rnacentral:rRNA from 1 species
AGAGUUUGAUCCUGGCUCAGAUUGAACGCUGGCGGCAUGCCUUACACAUGCAAGUCGAACGGCAGCACGGGGGCAACCCUGGUGGCGAGUGGCGAACGGGUGAGUAACAUAUCGGAACGUGCCCUGGAGUGGGGGAUAACUAGUCGAAAGACUGGCUAAUACCGCAUACGAUCUACGGAUGAAAGUGGGGGAUUCGCAAGGACCUCAUGCUCGUGGAGCGGCCGAUAUCUGAUUAGCUAGUUGGKGGGGUAAAGGCCUACCAAGGCGRCGAUCAGUAGCUGGUCUGAGAGGACGACCAGCCACMCKGGGACUGAGRCACGGCCCAGACUCCUACGGGAGGCAGCAGUGGGGAAUUUUGGRCAAKGGGGGCAACCCKGAUCCAGCAAUGCCGCGUGAGUGAAGAAGGCCUUCGGGUUGUAAAGCUCUUUUGUCAGGGAAGAAACGRUCUGGGCUAAUAUCCCGGGCUAAUGACGGUACCUGAAGAAKAAGCMCCGGCUAACUACGUGCCAGCAGCCGCGGUAAUAC